GUUCCCCUAGUUUAUACAUAUUUUGGGUAUGUAGAUAAUCAAGUUAGAGGAGAGAUUCAUUAAUACAGGCAUAGUUCUUUGCAAACAUGACUUAAUAGCUGUUGGAUCAUUAACAAUUCCCACUCUGACAGCUUGCAGUGUGGGCUGCACUUACGAGCUACUUUCUACAUCAAACUGUUUAGACAAGCCCACAAAAACAUGCGCAAACAACCAAAUUAGCAGAACAGUUUUUUCCUGAGAAAAUUUCCAGCGUCAGACAAUCACUCUUGAAUAUCGCUUGCUAUCUCAGAGAAUAAGUGGAAUCAAAUGAAUACCACAUAUCAGCUUCAAGGCCAACAAGCACUUUCAUUUCUUAUAUCAAGAUAUGGAAUCUAAAGUUAGAAUAUUAACUUCGUAAUGCACGAAACCUUCCUACAGGUGUGCAAAAAGGAAACUUCAAGCUAUGAAACUAAUGAAAAUUUCAGAAAAUAUGAAAUGCUAAUUACUGUUAAGCACUUACAAAGAGUAUUGAAUUAAGGAUUUCUUAAUUUUAUCAGUAUUAGUCAUUUUAAAUCAACAUUAAAUUAAAUAAAUAAGUAAAUGAAUAAAGAUGAAAAGUUGAACUUCUGAGAGGCUUGAAUUAGUGGGGAAGAAUUAGUGAGUGAUCUGUCAGACAAGUAGUAUUUUCAUGUCUGCUCAUUUCAAAGCAGAUGGAAGGCAGAUCAGAGCUCUUGUCCUCUUGUUGUACAAAUUAUGUGGCUACAUGACCUUGCUUUGGCAGUCAGUAAAGGUUGGAUUGGUAGCUUGGGUAGGUGACAUUCCUUUCUCCUUCCUAUUAUCACCACAUGGACGUGUGUUCUCUGUAAGGGGAUAGGGAAUUUAUUUCUAUGAAGUCCCUUGCUGUUCUUCAUGUACUGUAGCCUCUGCUGCUUAAAUGUUCAUUUUUGUGUACCAUAAACACCAGCAGGGAUGUGCACUGAUGCUUCGAAGUUCCAUACCAAUGUGCUAACUGUGUGACUCACCUGAUCCUUAUCUGCUUCUAAGAAAUAUCUUGUUUAAAAUAAUGGGGAAGCUCAGUAACACCAAUUGUCUUUGUGUAAUACUAACCAUAGUUCAAUGACUAAUGCAUAAGAAUAAUAGUCCUCCUACAUACAGAAAUUAUAUCUCUACUUACCAGCUUUGUUUCAUCUGUGUUCUUAGACCACUGUAGUUACAGCAAUAAAGCUAAUCAUAUAGGCUACACUUAAACUCGGAGGAGAGAGGUAGGUAUCUUGAUGUAGGAGUCAAAGAAAAAUAGAAUGGUACCAUCUGGGAAGCCUGUGUUCCCUCUAAGAUUACAGAUGGAGUCUAGUUGAGCAGCUGAGGUUAGGCUUCUAAGCUUUUACAGAUUUGUUGAGAUGGAACCUGUUUGUACUAGUUUACUUUCAUCUGCCCUGAGUUGUAAUAAAAUUAUGUUUUGCAUUAUAUCUCUUGUACAUUAACUUCUCUUAAGUUUAUGUAUAUAUUGGUUAUUGGUAUUUUUGUUUGUUUAUUUAUUUAUUUGUAUGGAAAUGCUCUGAGUGUAAAAGUUGCAUUUCUUGUUGGUGAUUCCUAAUUGCAUAGAACUAUUUCUAUUUUUUUAAUCUUUAUGUCAUUGCAACUUCAUCUUCUACCUCAUAUGUAACUGAGUUAUGAUUUACUUACACCAUUUGAUUCCCGCUUAUAACUCCACAUCAGAUCAGUAAUAACUGAAACACCCUGCAUUGCUGUUAACAGCCAUCUUACUGUACGUGUAAAACUAGUUGCUUAUUUUAACAGUCUUUAACCAGGCGUAUAUAUGUAAGCAUAAAUAGAAGAUGGGAUUUUUAAAAAAAUACAUUUCACAUGACCAUUCAUAUGAUUUUGGUUCUUAUUUUAGAAAUAAUAGGGGAAAAAUACCACAUUGAAGACAAUGCUAAGAUGAAUUGCGAGCUUUACAUCUUCAAUGGUUACCUAUAGGUGUAGGAGAGUUGAUGAUGAAAGCAGAAACUGCUUUUACAAACUACUGUCAUUUUCCCAGUUGCUAUUUGCAUGAUAAAUGGUACUGUAUGCCUCAUUACUACUGACUACUCUGCCCUGCAAAUAAACCAGCAGCAAGCUAAUGGCAAGAAAUUCAUAUCAGCAAGGUCUCAAUUAACAGAGAACUGUAUUUGCAGUGUUAUAACCUAUGCUAGAGAUAUUCUGGUGCUGACCUAAGAGCUGGGUAUGCUUCUGUUCUCACAUCACCCUAUUUGUAAAGCUGUCUUGAGAAGACCUUAUAUGCUGAGCUCUAUGGUUCAAGGAUAAGUAAACUUCUAUCUUUAGUAGUGUUUCAGUUAGCUUGCCACUUUCCAUUUUAAGAUACUAAACCUCAGUCGUCUUCCUGUAACUCAGCUGAGUGGUUGAGAGCUGUGUAUUAUACUGGGAGGAAUUAGAGAUUCCUGCAAUUUCUUGCCUGAAAAUAAAUAAAUAAAUAAAUA